GACGAACGCUGGCGGCGUGCCUAAUACAUGCAAGUUGAGCGAUGAAGAUUGGUGCUUGCACCAAUUUGAAGAGCAGCGAACGGGUGAGUAACGCGUGGGGAAUCUGCCUUUGAGCGGGGGACAACAUUUGGAAACGAAUGCUAAUACCGCAUAAUAACUUUAAACAUAAGUUUUAAGUUUGAAAGAUGCAAUUGCAUCACUCAAAGAUGAUCCCGCGUUGUAUUAGCUAGUUGGUGAGGUAAAGGCUCACCAAGGCGAUGAUACAUAGCCGACCUGAGAGGGUGAUCGGCCACAUUGGGACUGAGACACGGCCCAAACUCCUACGGGAGGCAGCAGUAGGGAAUCUUCGGCAAUGGACGAAAGUCUGACCGAGCAACGCCGCGUGAGUGAAGAAGGUUUUCGGAUCGUAAAACUCUGUUGGUAGAGAAGAACGUUGGUGAGAGUGGAAAGCUCAUCAAGUGACGGAAACUACCCAGAAAGGGACGGCUAACUACGUG
rnacentral:rRNA from 1 species